rnacentral:lncRNA from 1 species
CAAUAUUCUACUGCCUACUACCUCAUAGCUAGAUUCCUUUAUUAUGUUUCACCUGAAGGAGGUCCAGUCUAAGCCAAAGAGUGCAUCUCUUUAGCUGGAUUCUUUCCCUCCCCCCUUUUCAUGGCUUGACCCUGCACUAUGGACAUGCCUCCCAGUCCAAAAGUGGAAUGGGCGCUUGAAAUAGAGCUCAUUUGGGAUUGCAUCCAGACCAUGAGUCAAUAGGACCCAAAGGAGGGUACCAAAAGUCCCAAAGAUCUCCUUGGACUAUAUAAUAGAACUCAGUCCAUUUAAGGACCACUCUGCAUUGGGAAGAGCGUAUUAGCAAUUGCAUACAAGCUAAUAUAAUCCAAUAUAAACCCCUUGCACAACACUGUGGACACAAGGCUGCACAUUUCAGGACCAGGAAGGAAACCACAUCAGGGCUCCUCUUUCUCACUCCAUUGUUGUUUCCUCACAAUGCCUGGCAAAUAAUACUCUGUACUGCUCCCAGAAUUCCUGAGCCAGCCGGGUUCAAUCCAGACUUUUCCAAAUUCUUCAAAAACCAUUUUAAUGAAGGAUUUUUAUAUUUCCUGUAUGCUUCCAGCUGGAACAUCUAA